GUUCUAAACACAGGCUGGUACACUCUUAAUUCUCUGUGACCUCCUCCCAUCCCAUAGGUCUCUUUUCACUCCAACCAAAGAACAGGCUGAGCUAAAGUGCAGCCACACGCUGGAGUAGACCUGGCCAGCUCUGGAGGCUGGAGACAGAGAAAAGGUCUGGGGAAAACAUGAUAGAGACAAGGUAUAAGGAAUCUAUGUCUGUGUUUGAAAGAUGGAAGAAAAGGAAGGCUGAGCUAUGGCAGAGAUGGGAAACAACGAGCAGAGUUUUUGGCUCCACAGACUGCUCAGAGAAGACUGAGGGAAGUCCCCAAUGUUAGAAAUGGGCUGUAAAGAUAAAAAGGACUCAGGAGUAUAUGAAGUUGCUUAUUCUCCAUCUGGUAGCUCAGUGAGAAGAUACCUAAAUGUCCAAAAGCCAAUUUUAGAUAAUGAUCGAUUCAGACACGAAGCAGUCGACAGGAAGCCUCCUGACCCAAGUCAUGUCCUCUUGCAAAGGCUCAUGGGAAUUCUGUGCUGGAGUCUGGCAUGUGGCUGAGGUGUGUGGGAGGGAACCGUCCUCCAAGUAAGCCCUCUGGCUCUUCAACCUCACCCUCCACGAUGAUGUCAAGUCAUCAGUGAUGAUGUCUUUGGAUCCAGCCAUUCAACCAGUUCCAACUCCAUCUAAUCUAUAAUUUAUAUCUCUCCAUGUUGGCAAUUAGAAGGCAUGAAAGACUUGGUCAAAUCUUGUAUUUCUGCUAUUAGCCAUUUUUGUCCUUUCCAGUCUCGAGGUAGUUCUUGCCAUAGAAACAAGGAAACAAAUCUCGCUUCUCUUCAUUUUCAUCCCAGAAGAUUUUGGAUACUUCUCUCUAUUUUGAGUUUCUUCUAUCUCCAUGUUGGCAAUUAUAAGGCACGAAAGUCUAGGUCAAACCUUGUAUUUCUGCUCUCUUUGAGCCAUUUUUGUUCAGUCCUUUCCAGUCUCAAGGUAGUUCUUACCAUUGAAACAAGGAAAUGAAUUUCACUUUUCAUUUUUAUCCCAGAAGAUUUUGGAUGCCUCUAUUAUCUUCUCCAACACUGGAUGAAAAAACCCAAACCCAGGAGCAAGCCAGACACGGAGACAUUUUGGUUGUAUCUUGCCAUGCUUUGCCAGCCUUGGGCCAUCUUGCACUGAAGCACAUUCGAUACUCUCAGAAGCCUGGACCACCCCUCUGUGUUCAUCCUUCUUCGACUCUCCCAUUCUCUCUGCAAACAGUUACAACUAUAUAUAUAUAUAUAUAUAUAUAUAUACACACACACACACACACCAUAGUUUGUUCAUCUAUUUCUCAGCUGAUGAACAGCUCCUCCGUUGCUAUUUCUUUGCCACUACAGAAAGAAUUGUGAAUCUUCCAUACUUUUUGUACUCUUAGCUCUCUUUGGGGGUUAGAGACCUACCAAUGCUAUUGCUGGGUCAAAGGGCAGGAAGAGUUUGCCAGUUUCCUAAGCGUGAUCUGGUUGCUUUCCAGAAUGGCUGGACCUGUUUAUAGCUCCAGAGCAGCACAUUAAUGUGCCUGUUUCCCACAGUCCUCCAGUACUUACGACUUUCCUUUUUUUUUCAGCUUUAUCAAUCUUAUGAGUAGGAAGUGGAACAUAUUUUGCAUUUCUCUUAAGUUUUUUCAUGUGGCUACUGACAGUGGGAGUUUCUUCCUUAGCAAAUUCCAAUAGCACCCACUGUUCCCCUGUGAGCCGCCCAAAGCGGGUAGGAGAGUUAUCAGGUUGGACAAAGGCGUGGAACAUCCACAUGCACUGCCCAGAGACAGCCCUAAAAGCUAGUGGAUCUCUCUAUGGCUCACUCCUGCUGGCCACCUCAGCCAGUGCCCCUCAUCAGGGAGCUUCCCACCACUAUUUGUCCCUUUUUCUGCAAUG